rnacentral:rRNA from 1 species
CCCUAUGGGGUGCAGCAGGCGCGAAACCUCCGCAAUACACGAAAGUGUGACGGGGUUACCCAAAGUGUUCAAUUUUGAACUGUGGUAGGUGAGUAAUGUUCCCUACUAGAAAGGAGAGGGCAAGGCUGGUGCCAGCCGCCGCGGUAAAACCAGCUCUUCAAGUGGUCGGGAUAAUUAUUGGGCUUAAAGUGUCCGUAGCCGGUUUAGUAAGUUCCUGGUAAAAUCGGGUAGCUUAACUAUCUAUAUGCUAGGAAUACUGCUAUACUAGAGGGCGGGAGAGGUCUGAGGUACUACAGGGGUAGGGGUGAAAUCUUAUAAUCCUUGUAGGACCACCAGUGGCGAAGGCGUCAGACUGGAACGCGCCUGACGGUGAGGGACGAAAGCCAGGGGAGCGAACCGGAUUAGAUACCCGGGUAGUCCUGGCCGUAAACGAUGCAUACUAGGUGAUGGCACGGCCAUGAGCCGUGUCAGUGCCGUAGGGAAACCGUUAAGUGUGCCGCCUGGGAAGUACGGUCGCAAGGCUAAAACUUAAAGGAAUUGGCGGGGGAGCACCACAAGGGGUGAAGCCUGCGGUUCAAUUGGACUCAACGCCGGAAAACUUACCAGGGGAGACAGCAGUAUAACGGUCAGGUUGACGACCUUACCUAACGAGCUGAGAGGUGGUGCAUGGCCAA